AAAAAUUAAGCCUUAAAAUCUUAAACUUAUUCCUUAAAUUUAUUCACUAUCGAAGGUAGUGCGGGGGAGCGGCGAACGGGUGAGUAACACGUUGGAACCUACCUCAGACUCAGGGAUAGCCCACCGAAAGGGAUUAAUACCGGAUAGUCUCGUAAGGUAAAGCUUUUGCGGUCUGAGAGGGGCCUGCGGUCUAUCAGCUUGUUGGUAAGGUAAAAGCUUACCAAGGCUAUGACGGAUAUCUGGUGUGAGAGCAUGACCAGACACAAUGGAACUGAGACACGGUCCAUACUCCUACGGGAGGCAGCAGUGAGGAAUCUUCCGCAAUGGGCGAAAGUGACGGAGCGACACCGCGUGGAGGACGACGGCCAUUUGGUUGUAAACUCCUUUUCUGGGGGAAUAAUUGAUGAAGGUACCCCAGGAAUAAGCACCGGCUAACUACGUGCCAGCAGCCGCGGUAAUACGUAGGGUGCAAGCGUUAUCCGGAAUCAUUGGGCGUAAAGCGUUCGUAGGUGGUUUAGAAAGUUUGUGGUUAAAUCUGGUCGCUCAACGAUCAAAUCGCUACAAAAACUCCUAAGCUAGAGUUUGGCAGAGGCAACUGGAAUUCCACAUGUAGGGGUAAAAUCUGUUGAUAUGUGGAGGAACACCAAAAGCGAAGCAGGUUGCUGGGCCAUUACUGACACUGAGGAACGAAAGCGUGGGGAGCAAACAGGAUUAGAUACCCUGGUAGUCCACGCCGUAAACGAUGGAUACUCGAUGUAGGAGGGAAUCGACCCCCUUCUGUGUCUAAGCUAACGCGUUAAGUAUCCCGCCUGGGGAGUACGGUCGCAAGAUUAAAACUCAAAGGAAUAGACGGGGACCACACAAGCGGUGGAGCAUGUGGUUUAAUUCGACAAUAAACGGGGAAC
rnacentral:rRNA from 1 species